rnacentral:rRNA from 1 species
GCAUAUCAUAGCGAGAAAAGAACCCAACAGGGAUUGCCCCAGUAACGGCGAGCGAAGCGGCAACAGCUCAAAUUUGAAAUCUGGCCCCCCGGCCCGAGUUGUAAUUUGCAGAGGAUGCUUUUGGUGAGGCACCUACCGAGUCCCCUGGAAUGGGGCGCCAUAGAGGGUGAGAGCCCCGUAUGGUAGGACGCCGAACCUCUGUAAAGCUCCUUCGACGAGUCGAGUAGUUUGGGAAUGCUGCUCUAAAUGGGAGGUAAAUUUCUUCUAAAGCUAAAUACCGGCCAGAGACCGAUAGCGCACAAGUAGAGUGAUCGAAAGAUGAAAAGCACUUUGAAAAGAGGGUUAAAAAGUACGUGAAAUUGUUGAAAGGGAAGCGCUUGUGACCAGACUUGCGCCGGGCGGAUCAUCCAGCGUUCUCGCUGGUGCACUCCGCCCGGUUCAGGCCAGCAUCGGUUUUCGCCGGGGGACAAAGGCUUCGGGAACGUGGCUCCUUUCGGGGAGUGUUAUAGCCCGUUGCGUAAUACCCCGGCGGGGACCGACGACCGCGCUUCGGCAAGGAUGCUGGCGUAAUGGUCAUCAGCGACCCGUCUUGAAACACGGACCGAGGAGUCAAGCAUUAGUGCGAGUGUUUGGGUGUAAAACCCGCACGCGUAAUGAAAGUGAACGUAGGUGAGAGCUUCGGCGCAUCAUCGACCGAUCCUGAUGUUUUCGGAAGGAUUUGAGUAGGAGCAUUAACGCUUGGACCCGAAAGAUGGUGAACUAUACUUGAAUAGGGUGAAGCCAGAGGAAACUCUGGUGGAGGCUCGCAGCGGUUCUGACGUGCAAAUCGAUCGUCAAAUUUGAGUAUAGGGGCGAAAGACUAAUCGAACCAUCUAGUAGCUGGUUUCAGCGAU